ensembl:lncRNA
CUAUUACCCUACAUCACACUAACCCGCUCCCCCCUACCCCUAUUACCCUACCCUACCCUAUUACCCUACCCCCAUUACCCCUACCCUAUUACCCUAUCGCCCUACCCUACCCCCAUUACCCUACCCUAUUACCCUACCCUACCCCUAAUACCCUACCCUUAUUACCCUACCCUACCCCCAUUAGCCCCAACCCCCUACCCUAACCUUACUCCUAUAGCCCCACCAUCACACUAACCUAACCCUAGACAGGGUUAGUUAAGGUGUAGGUUAGACAGGGUUAGUUAAGGUGUAGGUUAGACAGGGUUAGUUAAGGUGUAGGUUAGACAGGGUUAGUUAAGGUGUAGGUUAGACAGGGUUAGUUAAGGUGUUAGGUUAGAGAUUUUUGAAUGAAAUAAUCAAAGCACAAAUUAUCCAAUACACGAUUUAAAGGCCAGAAUGGGUUUCUAUUUGACCUUUCAGCAUUAUGGCUUAUCCUUAUAAGUCGAUUUAUUUGUUUUAAUUCCUUCUUCAAAUACAAAAUGUGAUUUUUAUGCAAACGAUCAUUACAAAAAGCAAUGAUUAAGUGAUUAUCUUCCAUCUUUUGCAUUCGAAGCCUUUGUACAUGUCUGUUCUGUCAUAUUAAAAUCUGAGAGUUAUAACCAUCUUUAUACUUUAUUGUAAAGAACAAGGUCAGCUCAAACUGUUGUGCCUCGUUUCCACCGAGCAGUUCGGUUCGGUGCGGCACGGUUCGCUUAUAUCGGUGUUUCUGCUGCCAAAAGUAGGGUAGGGUCCCAAAUAAGCGUGCGGCUUCUAUUCUGAGCACUCCUCCGUUGGCGACCACGCCGUCUGAAAGGGUGCCGAAAAGUUGGCGUUACAAAAACCGUCCGUUGAUUUGUCGACAGAAUGUUCACUUCCGUGCGUCAGGGGGAUAAAAACAAACCACCCCAAACGACCCCUGGGGUCACACUCUGAUGGGCCACAGGAUCCGGUGGAACAGCGGACCGCCAAAACACUGUCUGACAUCGUAGCGGCCUGCAGCGUCAGAGAGGGUGGGGACCACUGAUCUAUACACUAUGG